rnacentral:piRNA from 1 species
UUUAUUUUUUAGGUCUUCCAU